GACAGAGGUGCCAAGCGUUAGGCGGAAUCACUGGGCUUAAAAGCGUGUGUAGGCGGGCGAUCAAGUACCUUGUGAAAUCCCACGGCUCAACCGUGGAACUGCUGGGUAUACUGGUUGUCUUGAGCCGCUAGGGGCGAGCGGAACAGACGGUGGAGCGGUGGAAAUGCGUAGAUAUCGUCUGGACGCCGAAGGUGAAAACAGCUCGCCUGGGGCUGCGCUGACGCUGGA
rnacentral:rRNA from 1 species